CUCGUAGGCGGUUCGUCGCGUCCGGUGUGAAAGUCCAUCGCCUAACGGUGGAUCUGCGCCGGGUACGGGCGGGCUUGAGUGCGGUAGGGGAGACUGGAAUUCCCGGUGUAACGGUGGAAUGUGUAGAUAUCGGGAAGGACACCAAUGGCGAAGGCAGGUCUCUGGGCCGUCACUGACGCUGAGGAGCGAAAGCGUGGGGAGCGAACA
rnacentral:rRNA from 1 species